rnacentral:rRNA from 1 species
AGUGAGCGCUGGCGGUAGGCCUAACACAUGCAAGUCGAACGGCAGCACAGUAAGAGCUUGCUCUUACGGGUGGCGAGUGGCGGACGGGUGAGGAAUACAUCGGAAUCUACUUUUUCGUGGGGGAUAACGUAGGGAAACUUACGCCAAUACCGCAUACGACCUACGGGUGAAAGCAGGGGAUCUUCGGACCUUGCGCGAUUGAAUGAGCCGAUGUCGGAUUAGUUAGUUGGCGGGGUAAAGGCCCACCAAGGCGACGAUCCGUAGCUGGUCUGAGGGGAUGAUCAGCCACACUGGAACUGAGACACGGUCCAGACUCCUACGGGAGGCAGCAGUGGGGAAUAUUGGACAAUGGGCGCAAGCCUGAUCCAGCCAUACCGCGUGGGUGAAGAAGGCCUUCGGGUUGUAAAGCCCUUUUGUUGGGAAAGAAAUCCAGCUGGUUAAUACCCGGUUGGGAUGACGGUACCCAAAGAAUAAGCACCGGCUAACUUCGUGCCAGCAGCCGCCGUAAAAC